GAAAUGCGAUAAGUAAUGUGAAUUGCAGAAUUCAGUGAAUCAUCGAAUCUUUGAACGCACAUUGCACCCCCUGGUAUUCCGGGGGGUAUGCCUGUUCGAGCGUCAUUAACAACCCUCAAGCUCUGCUUGGUAUUGGGCCCCGCCGACCCGGCGAGCCCUAAAAUCAGUGGCGGUGCCAUCUGGUUCCGAGCGUAGUAAUUCUUCUCGCUUUGGAGGCCGGGUGUGUGCUUGCCAGCAACCCCCAAUUUUUUUAAGUUUGACCUCGGAUCAGGUAGGGAUACCCGCUGAACUUAA
rnacentral:misc_RNA from 1 species